rnacentral:rRNA from 1 species
UACGUAGGGUCCAAGCGUUAUCCGGAAUUACUGGGCGUAAAGAGUUGCGUAGGUGGCAUAGUAAGCGAGUAGUGAAAGCGUGUGGCUCAACCAUACAUCCAUUACUUGAACUGCUAAGCUAGAAGAUGAGAGAGGUAGAUGGAAUUCCUGAUGUAGGGGUAAUAUCCGUAGAUAUCAGGAGGAACACCGAUGGCGUAGGCAGUCUACUGGCUCAUUCUUGACACUAAGGCACGAAAGCGUGGGGAGCAAACAGG